GAAAUGCGAUAAGUAGUGUGAAUUGCAGAAUUCAGUGAAUCAUCGAAUCUUUGAACGCACAUUGCGCCCUUUGGUAUUCCAAAGGGCAUGCCUGUUCGAGCGUCAUUUGUACCCUCAAGCUUUGCUUGGUGUUGGGCGUCUUGUCUCUAGCUUUGCUGGAGACUCGCCUUAAAGUAAUUGGCAGCCGGCCUACUGGUUUCGGAGCGCAGCACAAGUCGCACUCUCUAUCAGCAAAGGUCUAGCAUCCAUUAAGCCUUUUUUCAACUUUUGACCUCGGAUCAUGUAGGGAUACCCGCUGAACUGAAGC
rnacentral:misc_RNA from 1 species